rnacentral:rRNA from 1 species
GACGAACGCUGGCGGCGUGCUUAACACAUGCAAGUCGAACGGAACGGCCCUGCUUUUGUGGGGUGCUCGAGUUGCGAACGGGUGAGUAACACGUGAGUAACCUGCCCUUGACUUUGGGAUAACUUCAGGACACUGGGGCUAAUACCGGCUAGGAGCUCCUGCUGCAUGGUGGGGGUUGGAAAGUUUAGGCGGUUGGGCAUGGAAUCGCGUCUUAUCAGCUUGUUGGUGAGGUAGUGGCUUACCAAGGCUUGGAGGGGUAGCCGGGCUGGGAGGGUGACCGGACACGCAGGGCUGGGACUACGACACGGACUCGACUGGGACGGGAGGGAGCGGAAGGGAAUAUUGGGGGAUGGGCGAAAGCGUGACACAGCAGCGCGGGGGGAGUGGUGAAGGCCUUAGGGAUGUACUGCUCCUUGACACGAGAUGAGAAUGACAGUACCGGGAAAAGAAGCACCGGCUAACUACGUG